rnacentral:antisense_RNA from 2 species
UUCUUUGGCGGCAAUGGCAGGGAGGCUUCGGCCUGCCGGGUUCCUUUGGUACCGGUCUGCAAACCUUGUCAUUUGCCGCCACCCUC